GAUGAACGCUAGCUACAGGCUUAACACAUGCAAGUCGCGGGGCAGCAUGGGGGUUGCUUGCAAUCCCCGAUGGCGACCGGCGCACGGGUGAGUAACGCGUAUCCAACCUGCCCUUCACCACGGGAUAACCCGGCGAAAGUCGGACUAAUACCGUAUGUUGUCCAUUGACGGCAUCCGAUUUGGACGAAAGGUUUGGCGGUGAAGGAUGGGGAUGCGUCCGAUUAGCUGGACGGCGGGGUGACGGCCCACCGUGGCGACGAUCGGUAGGGGUUCUGAGAGGAAGGUCCCCCACACUGGAACUGAGACACGGUCCAGACUCCUACGGGAGGCAGCAGUGAGGAAUAUUGGUCAAUGAGCGUAAGCCUGAACCAGCCAAGUAGCGUGCAGGAUGACGGCCCUAUGGGUUGUAAACUGCUUUUAAGCGGAGAUAAAGUGGCCCACGUGUGGGUUUUUGCAGGUACCGCAUGAAUAAGAACCGGCUAAUUCCGUG
rnacentral:rRNA from 1 species